GAAACUUUCAGAAAUUGGUCUUCCUUCCAUGUCCCAUAAUCAUAUUAUCAAGGUGUGUGGCCCUUCUCGGUUAAUGUGCUAUUCUUCUUGCUUUGGAUUUGAGGUGCUUUCUACGUGUGGUCAUCUGUAAUGAUGUGGUCAGUUUGUUAAUUUUUUAACAAUAAAUGUGAAGUGAGUGCAUCAUUUUCUGUUCUGUGUCUGCAUGAUGGGGAUGAGGGAGUCCUGUUGGCUGCUAGCCCAUUAAAAUCUUUUACCUGGUCAUGUGGAUUAGCAGAGCUUACCAUUGUGGUGUAUUCCAAAAUCCUGGCUUUGAUCGAGAGCAAGUUCUCUUCAUGUUGACAGGCAGUUUGCAGCCUCUUACUUCUUUAAGGCCUCUUACUUUUUUAAGGCCUCUAUAUCUUUCCUUCUUAUGUCCCUUUAUUGUUCUUUAAAAGGUUAAAGAAGUUCUUUUCAAAUGGCAGUUUAUUAUUCUAGGUGUAUGAGGAAGAACCGGUUCUCCAAGCAUUUAAGCUGAUGAGAAAAAAGAGA
rnacentral:misc_RNA from 1 species